rnacentral:lncRNA from 1 species
UAGGGUCAUAAUGCUCAUCAGUAGAGAGAGUUCCCACAUAAUGAGUACCCCUUGCCAAUGAUAUCACUUAUCUUUUAUGUAUUUAUCUGAUUAUAUAGUUAUCCAAAAGUAAGCUUCUAAUGCCUUAUCUCUUUUGUUCUUGAUUGUCUACAUGUCUGCUCUGCAUUGGAUUAUGGAUCAUUUCUUCUUCCUGAAUGACUUGAUCAGCUCUACUACUGUAUAAUUUGUCCUGUGGGGAAAACUGCAUUGAUUGUUGAAGAGACCAAAGGAAUUUUAAAUCAGAACUGGAGAAGGAACUGGCAAACCACUCCAGUCUCUUUGUCAAGAAAAUCCAAAUGGGGUCACCAAGAGUCAGCCACACCUGAAAUGACUAAACAACAAUAUUAUAGAGAAAGAAAAAAAGAUGUUCCUUAAUGCUCCAUACCAAAGAAGGUACACUCUCCUGAAUUAUUCUCCUUUUCUUUUUCUGAGACAGGACAUUAAAACAAACUGAAAAAUACUCUCUACUUUGAAAUCUAAAUUUUUCACUAAUAAAUAUGAUUAGUAUGAGUGAUCUCUGUUUAUA